UUCACGAUGAGUUUGGAGCCUCCACCAAAAGUCCACCACAGUGAUACAUUCUAAUGAAACCGCUGUACAAAAACCUCCGUCACACUGCAACACACACACACACACACACACACACACACACACACACUUUGCAUCAGCAGCUCCUGCUUCAGUGCUCGGUGAGUGUUUAUAUUCCUGUGACUUGAACACUUCAUGACUGAGAGCUGCUGCUCUGCAUCUUCACCCACAGCAACCAUGACUUUGAUCAGCAUCUUCAUCUGCACACUGGCCCUCUGGACUCAAGGAUCCAGAGGUCAGGUGACUGUGACUCAGACUCCUUCAGUGAAGACUGUUGUUCCAGGAAAUACAGUUACUAUCAACUGUAAAAGCAGUCAUAAAGUGCACGGUGGUACUUAUCUACACUGGUAUCUGCAGAAACCUGGAGAAGCUCCUAAACUUCUGAUCCAUCAUGUUAAUAAAUUAGAGUCAGGGAUUCCAGCUCGUUUUAAAGGCAUUGGAUCUGAUACUGACUUCACUUUGACCAUCAGUGGAGUCCAGGCUGAAGAUGCAGGAGAUUAUUACUGCCUUACUGACCUUCAGAUCAGUGGCAAAUCAGUGUUCACACAGUGUUUAAGCGUCAUACAAAAACCUCAGUCAGUGAGAAGAACAGAGAAACACUGCUGCAGCUGGGAGAGACUGCAGGUGCUGAGGAUGUGAUACACACAGUAACACACACUAACAAUGCAAGAAAACACACAACACUGAUCUCACUAAUGAUCUGACAGAGAAGUCCUUAUUCAACUAUGGAUCAUUUUUUUAUGAAUUAUUAAUCAUAAUAUGCAGCCUUCAAGAAGUUUUUCAUUUGUGUACAAAUUGUGUGUGCAGAAUUUAAUAAUAAGACCACAAGCAAAAUAUCCUUUUAGAAAAAUAUCUUUUAUCGUGGUCCUGGGAUCUGUACCCAAAGAAGCUUCUCUCAAACAGAGAAAAGCAGAAGUUUUAGAAAUUCAAUUUAAAUCAAUUCAUUUCAACAUUAUUUGUAAAACUCUUUUAAUGAUGCUGAUUGUCCCAAAACAGCUUUACAGAAAUCUAUAGGUUACAAAUAUACUUUUACAUUGAGUAAA